rnacentral:rRNA from 1 species
UUUAUGGAGAGUUUGAUCCUGGCUCAGGAUGAACGCUGGCGGCGUGCCUAAUACAUGCAAGUCGAGCGAACGGACGAGAAGCUUGCUUCUCUGAUGUUAGCGGCGGACGGGUGAGUAACACGUGGAUAACCUACCUAUAAGACUGGGAUAACUUCGGGAAACCGGAGCUAAUACCGGAUAAUAUUUUGAACCGCAUGGUUCAAAAGUGAAAGACGGUCUUGCUGUCACUUAUAGAUGGAUCCGCGCUGCAUUAGCUAGUUGGUAAGGUAACGGCUUACCAAGGCAACGAUGCAUAGCCGACCUGAGAGGGUGAUCGGCCACACUGGAACUGAGACACGGUCCAGACUCCUACGGGAGGCAGCAGUAGGGAAUCUUCCGCAAUGGGCGAAAGCCUGACGGAGCAACGCCGCGUGAGUGAUGAAGGUCUUCGGAUCGUAAAACUCUGUUAUUAGGGAAGAACAUAUGUGUAAGUAACUGUGCACAUCUUGACGGUACCUAAUCAGAAAGCCACGGCUAACUACGUGCCAGCAGCCGCGGUAAUACGUAGGUGGCAAGCGUUAUCCGGAAUUAUUGGGCGUAAAGCGCGCGUAGGCGGUUUUUUAAGUCUGAUGUGAAAGCCCACGGCUCAACCGUGGAGGGUCAUUGGAAACUGGAAAACUUGAGUGCAGAAGAGGAAAGUGGAAUUCCAUGUGUAGCGGUGAAAUGCGCAGAGAUAUGGAGGAACACCAGUGGCGAAGGCGACUUUCUGGUCUGUAACUGACGCUGAUGUGCGAAAGCGUGGGGAUCAAACAGGAUUAGAUACCCUGGUAGUCCACGCCGUAAACGAUGAGUGCUAAGUGUUAGGGGGUUUCCGCCCCUUAGUGCUGCAGCUAACGCAUUAAGCACUCCGCCUGGGGAGUACGACCGCAAGGUUGAAACUCAAAGGAAUUGACGGGGACCCGCACAAGCGGUGGAGCAUGUGGUUUAAUUCGAAGCAACGCGAAGAACCUUACCAAAUCUUGACAUCCUUUGACAACUCUAGAGAUAGAGCCUUCCCCUUCGGGGGACAAAGUGACAGGUGGUGCAUGGUUGUCGUCAGCUCGUGUCGUGAGAUGUUGGGUUAAGUCCCGCAACGAGCGCAACCCUUAAGCUUAGUUGCCAUCAUUAAGUUGGGCACUCUAAGUUGACUGCCGGUGACAAACCGGAGGAAGGUGGGGAUGACGUCAAAUCAUCAUGCCCCUUAUGAUUUGGGCUACACACGUGCUACAAUGGACAAUACAAAGGGCAGCGAAACCGCGAGGUCAAGCAAAUCCCAUAAAGUUGUUCUCAGUUCGGAUUGUAGUCUGCAACUCGACUACAUGAAGCUGGAAUCGCUAGUAAUCGUAGAUCAGCAUGCUACGGUGAAUACGUUCCCGGGUCUUGUACACACCGCCCGUCACACCAUGAGAGUUUGUAACACCCGAAGCCGGUGGAGUAACCUUUUAGGAGCUAGCCGUCGAAGGUGGGACAAAUGAUUGGGGUGAAGUCGUAACAAGGUAGCCGUAUCGGAAGGUGCGGCUGGAUCACCUCCUUUCU